ACUCCUACGGGAGGCAGCAGUGGGGAAUUUUGGACAAUGGGCGAAAGCCUGAUCCAGCCAUGCCGCGUGCAGGAUGAAGGCCUUCGGGUUGUAAACUGCUUUUGUACGGAACGAAACGGCCUUUUCUAAUAAAGAGGGCUAAUGACGGUACCGUAAGAAUAAGCACCGGCUAACUACGUGCCAGCAGCCGCGGUAAUACGUAGGGUGCAAGCGUUAAUCGGAAUUACUGGGCGUAAAGCGUGCGCAGGCGGUUAUGUAAGACAGUUGUGAAAUCCCCGGGCUCAACCUGGGAACUGCAUCUGUGACUGCAUAGCUAGAGUACGGUAGAGGGGGAUGGAAUUCCGCGUGUAGCAGUGAAAUGCGUAGAUAUGCGGAGGAACACCGAUGGCGAAGGCAAUCCCCUGGACGUGUACUGACGCUCAUGCACGAAAGCGUGGGGAGCAAACAGGAUUAGAAACCCUAGUAGUCCCAUGA
rnacentral:rRNA from 1 species